GUGUCUCUUCACAGUAGUGGAACAGUAACUAUGACAAUGGUUGAGCCUAGAGGGAAGAUGUAAGCCAGGAAGUCUGUUGUUUGGGGUCUAAAGGAGCAAUCAUGAAUGUCUGGGCCAUAUUGAGAUGAGAUCUCGACUUUUGCCUCUAGGACAGCCAAAUAGACCUGCCUUGGAUGGUCUCAGCCCAUCUCAUACACUUAGUACCCUUCCAUCUGCCUCUGGUCUCCUGCAUGAAGGAUUUAUAUUUGAAAUGGGAACAAGUAGUCACAACCAUGAGAAGACCCAUGAAGGAAGGACUGUAAAAGGCCAUCAACAGUAAGUGCUUGCUUGCUGAAUUCAGUCAUUCAAACCAUAUCCCAGGCCCUGUGAAUCACACUCUGCAGCAGCCAUGCUCCUCCAGGGGACAUCAGUGCACACUGCAUUCCUCUGAAAACAAUUUGAGCCUCCAAUAGGACUUAAAAGCCUUGGAAGAGUCUUACCAGCCCCA
rnacentral:lncRNA from 1 species